rnacentral:rRNA from 2 species
UACGUAGGGUGCGAGCGUUAAUCGGAAUUACUGGGCGUAAAGCGUGCGCAGGCGGUUCGACAAGUCAGAUGUGAAAGCCCCGGGCUCAACCUGGGAAUGGCAUUUGAAACUGUCGGGCUUGAGUGUGGCAGAGGGGGGUGGAAUUCCGCGUGUAGCAGUGAAAUGCGUAGAGAUGCGGAGGAACACCGAUGGCGAAGGCAGCCCCCUGGGCUGACACUGACGCUCAGGCACGAAAGCGUGGGGAGCAAACAGG